CCUACGGGGGGCAGCAGUAGGGAAUCUUCGGCAAUGGACGAAAGUCUGACCGAGCAACGCCGCGUGAGUGAAGAAGGUUUUCGGAUCGUAAAACUCUGUUGUUAGAGAAGAACAAGGACGUUAGUAACUGAACGUCCCCUGACGGUAUCUAACCAGAAAGCCACGGCUAACUACGUGCCAGCAGCCGCGGUAAUACGUAGGUGGCAAGCGUUGUCCGGAUUUAUUGGGCGUAAAGCGAGCGCAGGCGGUUUCUUAAGUCUGAUGUGAAAGCCCCCGGCUCAACCGGGGAGGGUCAUUGGAAACUGGGAGACUUGAGUGCAGAAGAGGAGAGUGGAAUUCCAUGUGUAGCGGUGAAAUGCGUAGAUAUAUGGAGGAACACCAGUGGCGAAGGCGGCUCUCUGGUCUGUAACUGACGCUGAGGCUCGAAAGCGUGGGGAGC
rnacentral:rRNA from 1 species